AAAACACGCUUUGCCCUUUUCAAUUCCUGCUCUCAAACCCUAGACCCAUCUUCUCCUUCACGUUUCCAUCACGGCAUGAUAUGCUUUCAUCUCAACCAGUUUUCUUUCGUGAUUCAUCUCAACUAGGUUUCUUCUCCUUCACGCUUUCAUCUUCAUCAUUCCCUCCCUUCAUCACUCUAUUAGUGAAACUUUUUUCUCCUACAAAUUCAGUUGUUAGUUGUUAUGAGAGGGGUGACCCAAUUGAAGAAUUCGAGCUUGGUACUGGCUAGGUGAUAAAGGUAUGCGAUGAUUUUGACCAAUGUCGUAACCCUGGUGGAUUCAACACUUUGACACCGUAAAAAAGGGGCAAAGAAGGUCGCCAAGCAACAAAGAAAGGGCAAGAAUAUGUUGGAGCUAUGUGGUAACAUUGGAUGCAUCAUUUUGGUGCCAUUGUUUAAACAUGUUAUUCAAAAUCUACGAUGAGCCAGGGGCAAAAGGUUGCUUUGAAUUCCGCAAAGCUGCUCAGAUUUCUCGCUUCAAGCGUCAAUGUGCUAUACGUUCGAAACUCUUCAAACUAAAGGAACGACGUGACAAUCAACUAGAGAUCGACAUACGUUUUUGUCAUGAAUAAUAUAUGUUUUCCGACUUUAUGUUGUGCCUGCAGUUGGAGUCUGGUUAAGCCUUUGCCUUUAGCAUGGAAGUGUUUUUGGUUUCAGUGAUAUGUACCAAGCCAUGAGGGAGAAGAGGAGCGAUUGACGUCCUUGAAACGAUAUUCAACUAGAGAAUGGCAAUUCAUUUGUGUCAUAACCGCCUUCGAACAAGGACGGUGUGAAUGGGAAACUUGUAUAGCACUGUCAUCAAUAAGCAACUUUUUUGUAUUCGGGUUAGAUUUUUAUUUUGUUCAGUAUUUUUGGUAUAUUCAGGGCCCUGUUACUUUCAGAAGCUCACUGCUCUCUACAUUUUCAUUGGGGCAAGUGUUAAUCAUAUAUUAAAUAUGAUCCAGUAAUCGGUCUCAAACCAACUUAAAAAAAUGCUAGAUGUUUUUUUUUUAAAUUUAAACUUAUUGGGUCCCUCGUGAUGUUUUCAUUAUAUUUUAUUAUUGGUUUCUGUUGC